rnacentral:rRNA from 1 species
AUUGAACGCUGGCGGAAUGCUUUACACAUGCAAGUCGAACGGCAGCACGGUCUUCGGUCUGUUGGCGAGUGGCGAACGGGUGAGAAAUGUAACGGAACGUGCCCAGGCGUGGGGGAUAAGGUAGUGAAAUUUACGCUAAUACCGCAGAUGAUCUAUGGAGGAAUGAGGGGGAUCGCAAGACCUCGCGCGAUUGGUGCGGCCGAUGUGGGAUUAGGUAGUUGGUGGGGUAAAGGCCUACCAAGCCAACGAUGUGUAGCUGGUCUGAGAGGACGACCAGCCACACUGGAACUGAGACACGGUCCAGACUCCUACGGGAGGCAGCAGGGGGGAAUUUUGGGCAAUGGGCGAAAGCCUGAUCCAGCAAUUCCGCGUGCAGGAUGAAGGCCCUCGGGUUGUAAACUGCUUUUGUACAGAACGAAAAGGUUUCUACUAAUACUAGGAGCUCAUGACGGUACUGAAAGAAUAAGCACCGGCUAACUACGUGCCAGCAGCCGCCGUAA